GAUGAAGAACGCAGCGAAAUGCGAUAAGUAAUGUGAAUUGCAGAAUUCAGUGAAUCAUCGAAUCUUUGAACGCACAUUGCGCCCCUUGGUAUUCCGAGGGGCAUGCCUGUUCGAGCGUCAUUAUAACCCCUCAAGCUCAGCUUGGUGUUGGGGCCUGCUGCACUGGCAGCCCUUAAAAUCAGUGGCGGCGCCAUCUGGCUCUAAGCGUAGUAAUUCUUCUCGCUAUGGAGUCCUGGUGGAUGCUUGCCAUCAACCCCCAAUUUUUCUAUGGUUGACCUCGGAUCAGGUAGGGAUACCCGCUGAACUUAGGCAUAUCAAUAAGCGGAGGA
rnacentral:misc_RNA from 1 species